GACAGAGGGUGCAAACGUUGCUCGGAAUCACUGGGCGUAAAGGGCGUGUAGGCGGGAAGGGAAGUCAGAUGUGAAAUCCCUGGGCUCAACCCAGGAACUGCAUUUGAAACUCCCUUUCUUGAGUGUCGGAGAGGAAAGCGGAAUUCCUGGUGUAGAGGUGAAAUUCGUAGAUAUCAGGAGGAACACCGGUGGCGAAGGCGGCUUUCUGGACGAUCACUGACGCUGAGACGCGAAAGCGUGGGGAGCAAACAGG
rnacentral:rRNA from 1 species